CCAUAUGGAAUAUAGGGCUACUAAACCCAUGAUUAUUUAAAGAUGCAAUUGCAUGAGUUCUCCAGUAGGGCGCGCUCAACAUGAUUCCAGUAACAGGAAAUUGCACGUGAGCACCCCGUUUCGAGGGGGUCACCUUGAACCGUAACACUGGAAAGACGUUAGAGAGGUAUUAAGCACAACAGAGAAUCUCCCGGAUCUGAUCAUUGAAAAUACAGGAAACUACCGUGAAUUAUAUUGUUCACUUGAAUCUCCGGUUGGUUUUUUAUGUUUGAUCGAAGGAAGAUUGCAUCUACGAUGGCGAGCUUUGCCCAAUAGAACUGUGGAUGGUGUGGAUACGGCGUGGCCAGCCGUGAACACCACCAUAGAAGACCCUUGUGAAGAUCCAUUCAUAACAGAUAAGGCAUAGAACUAGAUACACACUAACCUACCCGGGUAGUAGUAAGAGAGAAACACACAUAUCCGGAUAUCCCCCCCUUGAACUCGACAUUCCUCGACCGAACAACUCGAGUACUGUAGCUGGGGAAUCCAGCUACAAAGGACUUAUUCUUUUGAUUUUGUUUGUUUGUUUGUUAUUUUCAAAAGCUUUAUUUUGUACCAAAUGUAAAUGUUUAUGAUGAAAGGCAUUA